rnacentral:rRNA from 1 species
GAUGAACGCUGGCGGCGUGCCUAAUACAUGCAAGUCGAGCGAACAGACGAGGAGCUUGCUCCUCUGACGUUAGCGGCGGACGGGUGAGUAACACGUGGAUAACCUACCUAUAAGACUGGGAUAACUUCGGGAAACCGGAGCUAAUACCGGAUAAUAUAUUGAACCGCAUGGUUCAAUAGUGAAAGACGGUUUUGCUGUCACUUAUAGAUGGAUCCGCGCCGCAUUAGCUAGUUGGUAAGGAAACGGCUUACCAAGGCAACGAUGCGUAGCCGACCUGAGAGGGUGAUCGGCCACACUGGAACUGAGACACGGUCCAGACUCCUACGGGAGGCAGCAGUAGGGAAUCUUCCGCAAUGGGCGAAAGCCUGACGGGGCAACGCCGCGUGAGUGAUGAAGGUCUUCGGAUCGUAAAACUCUGUUAUUAGGGAAGAACAAAUGUGUAAGUAACUAUGCACGUCUUGACGGUACCUAAUCAGAAAGCCACGGCUAACUACGUG